rnacentral:rRNA from 1 species
UGGGGAAUAUUGGACAAUGGGCGGAAGCCUGAUCCAGCAACGCCGCGUGAGGGAUGACGGCCUUCGGGUUGUAAACCUCUUUCAGUACCGACGAAGCGAAAGUGACGGUAGGUACAGAAGAAGGACCGGCCAACUACGUGCCAGCAGCCGCGGUAAUACGUAGGGUCCGAGCGUUGUCCGGAAUUAUUGGGCGUAAAGGGCUCGUAGGCGGUUUGUCGCGUCGGGAGUGAAAACAGCGGGCUUAACUCGUUGCUUGCUUUCGAUACGGGCAGACUAGAGGUAUGCAGGGGAGAAUGGAAUUCCUGGUGUAGCGGUGAAAUGCGCAGAUAUCAGGAGGAACACCGGUGGCGAAGGCGGUUCUCUGGGCAUUACCUGACGCUGAGGAGCGAAAGUGUGGGGAGCGAACAGGAUUAGAUACCCUGGUAGUCCACACCGUAAACGUUGGGCGCUAGGUGUGGGGUCCUUUCCACGGAUUCCGUGCCGUCAGCU